GACAGGGUUGUAGCUGGCCCUAUCCGGGCAUGUGCACGAAAUGCUCAUUCCAAUUCUUACACCUCUGUGCACUUAACAUGGGCUGGUCGUAGGCUUUUGUCUUGCUUCAGUGUGAGACGGGCUUUGACCUGCCUGUGGUUACUCUACAAACACUUUAAAGUAUUAGAAUGUAACAUCGCGGAUAAUAAACGCAUCUUAUACAACUUUCAGCAACGGAUCUCUUGGCUCUCGCAUCGAUGAAGAACGCAGCGAAAUGCGAUAAGUAAUGUGAAUUGCAGAAUUCAGUGAAUCAUCGAAUCUUUGAACGCACCUUGCGCUCCUUGGUAUUCCGAGGAGCAUGCCUGUUUGAGUGUCAUGGUAUUCUCAAUUCUCUAAAUCUUUGCGGAUUUGGAUGAAUUGGAUGUGGAGGUUUAUUGCUGGCGACUAUCCUUCUGGAUCUGUGUCCGGCUCCUCUGAAUACAUUAGCAGGAAUGUUGCCGUGCCAACCUCAGUG
rnacentral:rRNA from 1 species